rnacentral:rRNA from 1 species
AGAGUUUGAUCCUGGCUCAGGACGAACGCUGGCGGCGUGCUUAACACAUGCAAGUCGAACGGGGCAUAGAGAUAUGCCUAGUGGCGGACGGGUGAGUAACACGUGAGCAACCUAUCCUAUACAACGGGAUAACACAGAGAAAUUUGUGCUAAUACGGUAUAAGACCACACUCCGGCAUCGGAGAGGGGUAAAAGCUGAGGCGGUAUAGGAGGGGCUCGCGGCCCAUUAGCUAGUUGGAGAGGUAACGGCUCACCAAGGCGACGAUGGGUAGCCGAUCUGAGAGGAUGAACGGCCACAUUGGAACUGAGAAACGGUCCAAACUCCUACGGGAGGCAGCAGUGGGGAAUAUUGGGCAAUGGAGGCAACUCUGACCCAGCAACGCCGCGUGAAUGAAGAAGGUCUUCGGAUUGUAAAGUUCUUUAGCGAGGGACGAAAAGAAUGACGGUACCUCGAGAAUAAGCCACGACUAACUACGUGCCAGCAGUCGCGGUAAUACGUAGGUGGCGAGCGUUGUCCGGAAUGACUGGGCGUAAAGGGAGCGUAGGCGGCACAACAAGUUAGGAGUGAAAUACCGUGGCUUAACCACGGAACUGCUUUUAAAACUGUUGAGCUAGAGUGAUGGAGAGGAAAGCGGAAUUCCUAGUGUAGCGGUGGAAUGCGUAGAUAUUAGGAGGAACACCAGAGGCGAAGGCGGCUUUCUGGACAUUAACUGACGCUGAGGCUCGAAAGCGUGGGGAGCAAACAGGAUUAGAUACCCUGGUAGUCCACGCCGUAAACGAUGUCGACUUGGAAGUUGUGCCCUUGAGGCGUGGCUUCCGGAGCUAACGCGUUAAGUCGACCGCCUGGGGAGUACGGCCGCAAGGUUAAAACUCAAAUGAAUUGACGGGGGCCCGCACAAGCGGUGGAGCAUGUGGUUUAAUUCGAUGCAACGCGAAGAACCUUACCUGGUCUUGACAUCCACGGAAGUUUUCAGAGAUGAGAAUGUGCCUUCGGGAACCGUGAGACAGGUGCUGCAUGGCUGUCGUCAGCUCGUGUUGUGAAAUGUUGGGUUAAGUCCCGCAACGAGCGCAACCCUUAUCCUUUGUUGCCAGCGGUCCGGCCGGGAACUCAAAGGAGACUGCCAGUGAUAAACUGGAGGAAGGUGGGGAUGACGUCAAGUCAUCAUGGCCCUUACGACCAGGGCUACACACGUGCUACAAUGGCGCAUACAAAGAGAAGCGACCUCGCGAGAGCAAGCGGACCUCAUAAAGUGCGUCGUAGUCCGGAUUGGAGUCUGCAACUCGACUCCAUGAAGUCGGAAUCGCUAGUAAUCGUGGAUCAGAAUGCCACGGUGAAUACGUUCCCGGG